GGGGAUGACUGGCUUCGACGAGGAAGGAUGGUCCCGAACUGCAAGCCGAGUACGCCUACAUCUCGUAAAUCUGGGGCAACAACUAUAAGUGCCAACAAUAGCACUAACUACAACGCGCUUCCUAUGGCUGCGUAAGCCAAUAGAGGCGUAGAUUCCCAAAGUGGAAUCGCGUCUGGCCCGUUUCGCUCGUUGUCCGAGCGGGCCCAGGCGACAGUCACCGGCAACGUGCUCAGCGCCGACGUCGAUAGGCGCUGCUAAGAGACCCUUUAGGGGGUCAUCGACUGGUCGUUUGAUCUACCCUGUCAGCUGGGGACGUCGGCGACGAGAAACAAAUAGCUGACUAAGCUUGUAGACGUUUGGAGGCUUAAUUUUUCGGACGCGGGUUCGAUUCCCGCCAUCUCCACCU
rnacentral:tmRNA from 1 species